AUUUAUAUAGUUUAAAUAAAACAUUACAUUUUCAUUGUAAAAAUAAAAAAAUUUUUUUUUAUAAAUA
rnacentral:tRNA from 1 species